rnacentral:rRNA from 1 species
GGAUAACCUACCUAUAAGACUGGGAUAACUUCGGGAAACCGGAGCUAAUACCGGAUAACAUAUUGAACCGCAUGGUUCAAUAGUGAAAGGCGGCUUUGCUGUCACUUAUAGAUGGAUCCGCGCCGUAUUAGCUAGUUGGUAAGGUAACGGCUUACCAAGGCAACGAUACGUAGCCGACCUGAGAGGGUGAUCGGCCACACUGGAACUGAGACACGGUCCAGACUCCUACGGGAGGCAGCAGUAGGGAAUCUUCCGCAAUGGGCGAAAGCCUGACGGAGCAACGCCGCGUGAGUGAUGAAGGUCUUCGGAUCGUAAAACUCUGUUAUCAGGGAAGAACAAAUGUGUAAGUAACUGUGCACAUCUUGACGGUACCUGAUCAGAAAGCCACGGCUAACUACGUGCCAGCAGCCGCGGUAAUACGUAGGUGGCAAGCGUUAUCCGGAAUUAUUGGGCGUAAAGCGCGCGUAGGCGGUUUUUUAAGUCUGAUGUGAAAGCCCACGGCUCAACCGUGGAGGGUCAUUGGAAACUGGAAAACUUGAGUGCAGAAGAGGAAAGUGGAAUUCCAUGU